rnacentral:rRNA from 1 species
UCUGAAUCUGCGAACGGCUCCGCAAACCAGUUGUAAACUAUUGCUAGCACGCUCAUCGUCUUCGGAUGGUGGGCUAUAAGGAUAACCCUGGUAAUUCUGAGGCUAAUACUCGACCGUAAAACUCGCUGGUCUGGGUAACUGGUAAGGCGAGGGACGUGUAAUUGAUCGCAGGAGAUGCCGGGAAAGGAUGCACGUUCUGACCACCAUACAAACAGUAUCCUGGAAGCUCGCAAGGGCCGAAGGGUGUCUGGGUGGCUCUAGCAUUGUGCUUCUGACCUAUCAACUAGAUGGCAGUGUAAGGGACAUGCCAUGGU